GCCGGAUUAGCUCAGGUGGUAGAGCGGUACAUUCGUAAUGUAUAGGUCGGGUGUUCGAGUCACCCAUCCGGCACCA
rnacentral:tRNA from 3 species